rnacentral:lncRNA from 1 species
CUGCAGUAGCAUGAAGAGGUCUGAGGAAGCUGUGUGUCCCUCGAGAAAGCAAUUCUUUAUUGCCCAUCAAAGAUGAAUCCAUAGGGGAUCAUUAACAAGGAGAUCAUCCCAGAGAGCAGCUUCUAGAAUCACCAACCAACCUCAUGAAAUAAAGAAAUAAAGUAAACAAACAAGUAAAUAAAAACAGAUCUUUAUGGAUGUGGCAGAAAGCUUUGCAAGCCAAGAAAGUCUUCUAUCCAGGUGAUGCAAAUAACUGUAAAACUUCAGACUUCUUGAACUACAAAGAUGAACUCUGCCAACCCAAGUUCUAGUACUUCCUCUACUCCCAGCCUGACCCCCGUUGUUUCUUGGUUUCCUCGCUCCUUCUCUUUCUGUUUGACUCUUGGGAGUAAUAAACUCAGCCAAGUCCUACUACUUGAGCCCAUAUUUAAAUGCAGAACAA